rnacentral:rRNA from 1 species
CACGUAGUUAGCCGGUGCUUCUUAUCUAGGUACCGUCACACAAAGCUUCGUCCCUAGCGAAAGGAGUUUACAACCCGAAGGCCUUCAUCCCCCACGCGGCGUCGCUGCAUCAGGCUUGCGCCCCAUUGUGCAAUAUUCCCCACUGCUGCCUCCCGUAGGAGUCUGGGCCGUAUCUCAGUCCCAAUGUGGCCGUACACCCUCUCAGGCCGGCUACCCGUCGCCGCCUUGGUAGGCCAUUACCCCACCAACAAGCUGAUAGGCCGCGAGCUCAUCCUACACCGAAAAAACUUUCCAACCACCACACUAAAGAUGGCUCCUAUCCGGUAUUAGACCCAGUUUCCCAAGCUUAUCCCGAACGUGCAGGGCAGAUCACCCACGUGUUACUCACCCGUUCGCCACUCGAGUACCCUGCAAGCAAGGGCCUUUCCGUUCGACUUGCAUGUGUUAAGCACGCCGCCACGCCGUUCGUCCGUUCGACGCCGACGGAUCGAAACUCU